ACCUUACUUGAAUAUUUUGUUUCGUGUUCGAUAUUACAUCUGAAAAAACAGUGAUUUUAUUCAGAUUUUAGUUUUCUUCAAUAUGUUCAAACAAUUGUUAAAUUAGUGAUUAAUAAAUUGCGAAACCAGGAAUACGUGAAUUGAAAGGAUACAUGAUAAUAUUUACUGAUCCAUAAUUGAAAACUGUUUAUUCUGAUUUCGAUCAGAAUUGACUGUGUCCCUUUUCUCUCUCUCUCUCUCACACAUUUCACCAUAUCUAAAAAUUUCACAUGUUUCAUUCUUUAUGCUACUGCAUAAAAAAUGUCUUGUUUAUAUUUUUAUAAAUGCACACAUUAGUGAAUAUAUUCAUUUAAUCUAUUUACAGUAAAAGUGUUGUCUUGACCAAUGUGGCCAUUUAUUCUCAAUCCAUAUUAAGCAAAUGCAUAUUUUAUCUCUUAAACAACUCGGUUAAGUGUUGUCAAUGUGCAAACAAGUUGACGUUUUCACUGAAUUGGUUUCGAAGUAGUUUCGAAAAAUUUGCAUUAUAUUUACAAUCGACAUGAUGAAGAGCGGCGCUUGCACAACUAAAAAGGAAAGCAAGAUGCGAAUUCGUCCUUUUGCCACCACUAUGGAUGAAAAGUAUGUGGAAAAUAUUUGGGCAUUAUUGAAAAAUGCUAUUCAAGAAAUACAGAAAAAAAAUAAUUCUGGUUUGAGUUUUGAAGAACUUUAUCGCAAUGCGUAUACAAUGGUUCUUCAUAAAUAUGGCGAACGUCUCUACACUGGUUUAAAAGAAGUUGUAACACAACAUUUAGAGAAUAAAGUACGAGAAGAUGUUCUUAAAUCACUUCACAAUAAUUUUCUGCAAACAUUAAAUCAAGCUUGGAAUGAUCAUCAAACGUCCAUGGUUAUGAUCCGAGAUAUUUUAAUGUAUAUGGAUCGUGUUUAUGUACAACAAAAUAGUGUUGAUAACGUUUAUAAUUUAGGGCUCAUUAUAUUUCGCGAUCAGGUUGUAAGAUAUGGAUGUGUAAGAGAUCAUUUACGAGAAACCUUAUUAGAUAUGGUUGCUCGAGAACGUAGAGGAGAGGUUGUUGAUCGUAUAGCAAUAAAAAAUGCUUGUCAAAUGUUAAUGGUCCUUGGCAUUAAUAAUCGUGUUGUCUAUGAAGAAGAUUUUGAAAGACCAUUUUUGCAGCAAAGCAUAGAUUUUUAUCGAAUGGAAUCACAAAAGUUUUUAGCUGAGAAUAGUGCAUCAGUGUAUAUAAAGAAAGUCGAAGCAAGAAUAAGUGAGGAAUCAGAUAGAGCUAAACACUAUUUAGAUGAAUCGACUGAGCCGCGAAUAGUAGAAGUAGUAGAGGAUGAGCUCAUUAAAAUUCACAUGAAAACAAUCGUUGAGAUGGAAAAUAGUGGUGUAAUUCAUAUGCUUCAAAAUCAAAAGAUUGAAGAUCUCAACAGUAUGUAUAAACUAUUUUCACGUGUUACUGAUGGAUUGCGAACAGUAUGCGAUUGUGUUUCACAAUUUCUUCGGGAACGUGGUCGAACUUUGGUUCAAGAAGAUCAAGAAUCGUCGACAAAUGCUGUUUCAUUUGUUCAAAAUUUGCUCACAUUAAAAGAUGGAUUCGAACAUUUCCUUCAUUACUCUUUUAACAACGAUAAGCUUUUUAAACAUAUGAUUGCAGCUGAUUUUGAACACUUUUUAAAUUUAAAUCCAAAAAGUCCAGAAUAUCUUUCACUUUUUAUUGAUGAUAAAUUAAAGAAAGGCGUUAAAGGCAUGACAGAACAAGAAAUCGAAGGAAUUCUUGACAAAACAAUGGUUUUGUUUAGAUUCUUGCAAGAGAAAGAUGUGUUUGAAAGAUAUUAUAAACAACAUUUAGCCAAGAGACUUUUAUUGAAUAAAUCUGUAUCCGACGAUAGCGAAAAGAAUAUGAUAUCUAAAUUGAAGACUGAAUGCGGAUGUCAGUUUACGUCGAAACUGGAGGGCAUGUUCAAAGAUAUUACACUAAGUAAUACUAUUAUGGAUGAAUUCAAAGAACAUGUUAAUACAUUUGGAACAAACUUACACGGUGUGGAUUUAAGUGUUCGCGUUUUAACCACUGGCUUUUGGCCAACACAUUCGGCUACUCCAAAAUGUAGCAUUCCUCAAGCGCCAAGAGAUGCCUUUGACGCUUUUCGUCGUUUUUAUCUAGCUAAACAUAGUGGCCGUCAGUUAACUUUACAACCUCAACUAGGAUCUGCUGAUCUUAAUGCCAUUUUUUACGGACAACAAAGAGAAGAAACGGGUGGAGUUGAUGCACCCACAUCAUCUUCCUCCGUAAAUAGCGGAAAUAAUGCUAGUAAUCUUUUGAGUCCGAAACCCAGUGGAAAUGGUGGCUUAAGAAAGCAUAUUAUUCAAGUUUCAACUUAUCAAAUGUGUGUUUUGAUGCUCUUCAAUAACAGAGAAAAGCUAACAUACGAGGAAAUACAAAGUGAAACCGAUAUUCCUGAAAGAGAUCUAGUACGAGCUUUACAGUCACUUGCAAUGGGAAAAGCAACUCAACGAGUUUUGUUAAAAUAUCCACGAACCAAGGAUAUUGAACCUACUCACCAAUUUGUUGUCAAUGAUAGUUUUACAAGUAAAUUGCACAGAGUGAAAAUUCAGACAGUAGCGGCUAAAGGAGAAUGUGAACCAGAACGAAAAGAAACGAGAAAUAAAGUUGAUGAAGACAGAAAACACGAAAUAGAAGCAGCCAUCGUGCGAAUUAUGAAGGCACGAAAACGCAUGGCACACAAUAUUUUGGUAACCGAAGUAACUCAACAGUUACGAUCACGAUUUUUACCUUCACCGGUUAUAAUAAAGAAACGUAUUGAAGGUCUCAUUGAACGAGAAUAUCUUGCUCGAACGCAAGAAGACAGAAAAAUUUACACGUACGUCGCUUAAUCGCUUUAUCAACGGAUUCUUACAAACGUGUAAGUGUUCUAAAACAAUGCGCUCUACAUUUUUUGGUAUUUGCAUUUCCAAUUCUAGAACUUUAUUGAUCUCUGGUGAUUGUUCACUUUCACUCAAAGGAUUUAAGGAUACUCAUAAACUACCAAGUUUGGACUGAAAUAACCCUGAUUUACAUCGUGCGUUAUUUUAAUUUAAAAAAAAAAAUUGUUGCGUCAAAAAAAAAAAAAAUUUACUCAUGGAAUUUUAAUUAAAAAAAAAUAUGUCACCAGAUAUUGUAUGCAACGACUUUUAAAAUGUUCUUUCUCCUUUUUUUUAUUUUUACGACUAUAUGAAUUUCAAAUUGCAAAAAGUAUAAAAAAUAAUUCUGGAUGUUUGUAAUCCACAAAACUCGAAGAAAAUUGAGCUAAUGAUGAAUGUUGUAAGAUAAACGAAGAUUGUUAGAAAAUAAAUUAAUUGAUAAAGAAAAAAAAAAAAAAUAUAUAUAUAUAUAUAAAAGGUCA